AGUUCGUCCUACGAAUUUCAUCAAGUACUGCCGGUUUCCUUUUGUUCCGGGCUUGUCACAUAAAAUUAAUAGUUGUUUUACAGGUACUAAUGUAAAGCUGGCUUAUUAUAACGUGUAUAAAAUAAAAUCAUUAUACACUAAGUUAAAGGAUCCAGUGCAGCAGGAUCAAAGAGCAGGUGUAGUGUACAAGAUCCCGUGCUCUUGUGGACUUUGUUAUGUGGGUCAAACCAAACAGUAUUUAAAAAAUAGGAUUUACCAACAUAGGAAUAGUUGUAGGAAUGUUAAAAUCUUGGAUGAGAACAAAACAGCGCUGGCCGCACAUUACUUCGACUCGGGUCAUGGGUUUGAUUUUGACAAAGCGAAGAUCUUAGAUUUAGAGAAUAACUGGUUAAAAAGAUCGGUUAGUGAAAUGGUUUGGAUUAAACUUAAUGACACGGUAAAUAAGCGUACUGACACCCAGAAUCUGAGUGCAAUGUACAACGAGAUUUUAUCGGUUUAUAACGAUUAUCUUGGUGACGCACGUUAGUUUUACUUUAUUUUUGAAUGUUUAGACUAUUUUAAUGUAUUUAAUUUUGUUUUGACUCAGAUAUUGUAGAAAUGUUUUAGAGUAUUGUUUUGAAUUCCCGCGGCGGUGAAUGUGGGAAACAAGGGCGCUUCAUUCGCUUACUGUUUCCUCAUUUAUGUAUAUUUUGAGGUCGACUGCGGUCGACAGUUUAUUUACAUGUACAAGUCGGUUCUGUUAGCUGCGUUCUUUUUAAUUAAUAAAUUUUUGAAUUUUGUUAAUUAUUUAUGAGUAGCUAAUGAAGUGGUAUAAGAAGAUUUAUAUUGUUUACGCUUAUAAAUUGAGACGCCUGAAGAAGGCCAAAUAAAAUGGUCGAAACGUUGCGGAAUCAA
rnacentral:lncRNA from 1 species